GACCCGAAAGGGAAAACACAUAUUUUUGACCUAAUUUUCUCUUCACUUCACGCAUACAUCUAUUAUAUCUCAUUUCCACUUCAUCCUCUCAUCAUAUCCCUGUUCUGAACUCAUCAGUGCUUCAGAUAAUAACAUGCAAAAAUUAGCUAUUUUUCAAGCAAGAAGGUGGCUUUGUAGGAGCUUCUCGAGCAUUUCUUCAAACCCAUUGCGGGUAUGCGUUGUUGGAAGUGGCCCUGCUGGUUUCUACACUGCUGAGAAGAUGUUGAAGGCGCAUCAACAAGCACAAGUUGAUAUCAUUGACAGGUUGCCUACACCUUUUGGGUUGGUCCGCUCUGGUGUUGCACCCGAUCACCCUGAAACAAAGAUUGUCAUCAACCAGUUUACAAGGGUGGCACAACAUGAACGAUGCUCAUUUUUUGGAAAUGUGAUCCUUGGAUCCAGCAUUUCUCUCUCUGAAUUACGCGAGCUAUAUCAUGUGGUUGUCCUUGCUUAUGGUGCUGAAAGUGACAGAAGUCUUGGUAUUCCAGGAGAAAACUUGAAAGGGAUACAUUCAGCUAGAGAGUUUGUUUGGUGGUAUAAUGGGCAUCCAGAUGGACGAAAUCUUGAUCCAGACCUAAAGAGCACUGAUACAGCUGUAAUCCUUGGUCAGGGAAAUGUUGCUCUAGAUGUUGCACGUAUUCUUUUAAGACCUACUGUAGAGUUAGCUACAACUGAUAUUGCCAGUCAUGCUUUGGCUACUCUAGAGGAGAGCUCUAUCAGGGUGGUUUAUUUGGUUGGAAGACGUGGUCCAGCUCAAGCAGCUUGUACUGCUAAAGAACUACGUGAAGUUCUUGGCAUUCAUAACCUUGAUAUUUCAAUUCUGGAAUCUGAUCUACUUUUAACGCCAGCUGACGAGGAAGAACUUAAGAGUAACCGAAUACAGAGAAGAGUUUAUGAGUUGCUUUCUAAGGCAGCUACUUCAAAGCCCAAACAUGUUGGUUCAAACAAACGUGAGCUCAAUUUUGUCUUCUUCCGUAAGCCAGAUAGUUUUCAAGAAUUAAGAGACAGAGGUGGCCAUGUUUCUGGUGUGCACUUUGAGAAGACAGUUCUUAAAAGUGUUGAACCUGGAAAACAGAUUGCUGUUGGUGCUGGAGAAUUUGAAGAUAUAAAAUGCGGGAUGGUUCUUAAGAGCAUAGGUUAUAAAUCAGUACCAGUUGAUGGCUUACCUUUUGAUCACAAGAAAGGUGAAUGAAUGACGGAUGUUCUCAAUCCAUCCACUUUAUGUCCAUUUUUAGGGAUAAUUACAAUGACCUCCCUCUAGGUUAGUGGUACUGUACCCUUAAAAAGAACAAAGCUGGAGAUGUGCUGGGGAGGUAGGUGUAAUUUCGGAAUAAAGCAGGGUCUAAAGUGUAAGUAUCACUAAUCUUGGGUAGGUCAAUGUAAUUAUACGUUUUUUUUUUUAAUCAAUUUCAUGUUAUGUAUUUUCUUGUGGAGAAGACAUCUUUAAAUCAACCUUUGUUUCAAAAUAUGAUUGGUUCUAGAAAAAAUUCUGCUGGUUUUGGAAAUAAGUGUAGUUUUGUUGUUCAAGGUUUCUAUUGGAAAAUGAAAACAAAAAUAGCAUUUAUGAUUUUUUUUAAUCUUGUUAGAUGGAGUUUAUGUUCUCUUGAGUCUUCAGCAUUUUUUUUUCUUUUCAAUAUGAUGUGAUUUUGUUUAAUAUUGGCCACAGGACAUAUGGUCUUGUUGAUAACAGGAUUUUGUACAAUAUAUUGUUUGGUUGGACCGUGAUCAUGUCAGACUUAUCAGUUGAUCAUAAUUUUAUGUGGCAAUAGAACAGUACUUGGGUAGCUUAACUCUUGAACCUUAAAAAAAACCAGAAUAAUUAAUGUUAAUUGCUCUAGUGUGUUUCAUUUUAGUAUUUGUGUUUUCAAAGGUGUGUCUAGACGGCACUUGUAAAUGGAUUGGGUUGCUCUUUUGUGUUCACGUUAUCACAUUUUUUUUAUUUACUUUCUUUCCUCUGUUCUUUUCAAUGUAGCUUUAGGUUUGGGACUUUGGAGGAUCCCUAACCUCCCUGCUUUGCAGGUUCUCCUUUUGUUAAAUUAUUAUUCUUUUGCAUUGGUGUUUUUCAGACAUUAGCCAAGAAACAUUAUGUGUGGAUGUGUGUAAAUGUGUCAUCUAAUUGGAGCUCAUAACUGUAUAUAU